rnacentral:sRNA from 1 species
UGGGUAGGAAAUUGCCCUGGUGGAAUGCCUCACCAGAGCAGCGCAUAGCAGGCCCCCGCAGAAGAUUAACACAGUUGCUGAACACCAGGAAGGGACUGAUACUUGGAGUCCAGACAUCUAAAAUUUGGAAAUGAAAGCAUUUGUCCAGAUCUCUGGCAAAGAUGGCACUGUCGUGUUUUCUCUGGGGCCAGUUGUGCAAAACCUUAUAGAAGAGAAGGCUGAUCUCAUUGCUUCAGACUUGGCCCAGAUUCCACAGAAGGAAAUGGAAGAGUUUGUACAGAGCUCUGGAGAAAAUGGUGUUGUGGUGUUUUCUCUGGGGUCAAUGGUCAGUAACAUGAAAGAAGAAAGGGCCAACGUAAUUGCAUCAGCCCUUGCCCAGAUCCCACAAAAGGUUCUGUGGAGAUUUGAUGGGAAUAAACCAGAUACCUUAGGUCUCAAUACUCGGCUCUACAAGUGGAUACCCCAGAAUGACCUUCUAGAUAUAAAGAGAAUGUUAUGAAAUUAUCAAGAAUUCAACAUGAUCAACCAGUGAAGCCCCUGGAUCGAGCAGUCUUCUGGAUUGAAUUUGUCAUGCGCCACAAAGGAGCUAAACACC